rnacentral:rRNA from 1 species
UGGGUUUAAAGGGAGCGUAGGCAGUUUUUUAAGCGUGCUGUGAAAUGUACCGGCUCAACCGGUGAUGUGCAGCGCGAACUGGGAAUCUUGAGUACGCAGUAAGCAGGCGGAAUUCGUGGUGUAGCGGUGAAAUGCUUAGAUAUCACGAAGAACUCCGAUUGCGUAGGCAGCUUGCUGUAGCGUAACUGACGCUGAAGCUCGAAAGUGCGGGUAUCGAACAGGAUUAGAUACCCUGGUAGUCCGCACGGUAAACGAUGGAUGCCCGCUGUCGGCCUUUUUUGGUCGGUGGCCAAGCGAAAGCGUUAAGCAUCCCACCUGGGGAGUACGCCGGCAACGGUGAAACUCAAAGGAAUUGACGGGGGCCCGCACAAGCGGAGGAACAUGUGGUUUAAUUCGAUGAUACGCGAGGAACCUUACCCGGGCUUGAACUGCCAUUGACUUGAAUAGAGAUAUUCAUUCCCUUCGGGGCAUUGGUGGAGGUGCUGCAUGGUUGUCGUCAGCUCGUGCCGUGAGGUGUCGGCUUAAGUGCCAUAACGAGCGCAACCCCUUUUUUCAGUUGCCAUCGGUUAAAGCCGGGCACUCUGUGAAUACUGCCGCCGUAAGGUGUGAGGAAGGUGGGGAUGACGUCAAAUCAGCACGGCCCUUACGUCCGGGGCUACACACGUGUUACAAUGGCGCGUACAGCGAGUCGGCCGUAUGUAAAUGCGGUCCAAUCCUUAAAACGCGCCUCAGUUCGGACUGGGGUCUGCAACCCGACCCCACGAAGCUGGAUUCGCUAGUAAUCGCGCAUCAGCCAUGGCGCGGUGAAUACGUUCCCGGGCCUUAUACACACC